CGUAGGACCCAAGCGUUAUCCGGAUUGACUGGGCGUAAAGAGUUGCGUAGGUGGUUUGUUAAGCGAAUAGUGAAAUCUUGUGGCUCAACCAUAAGGCUAUUAUUCGAACUGGCAAACUCGAGAACAGGAGAGGUAUCUGGAAUUCCCAGUGUAGGAGUGAAAUCCGUAGAUAUUGGGAGGAACACCAAUGGCGUAGGCAGGAUACUGGACUGUUUCUGACACUAAGGCACGAAAGCGUGGGGAGCGAACUGGAUUAGAUACCCAGGUAGUCCACGCUGUAAACUAUGGAUGCUAGCAGUAAGCCGUAUCGACCCGGUUUGUUGCGAAGCUAACGCGUUAAGCAUCCCGCCUGGGUAGUACGAACGCAAGUUUA
rnacentral:rRNA from 1 species